GUUGAACUCCUCUGGGAAUAAAAACUCGACAGAGAGUGUUAUUCCUCACGGAGAGUCCAGGUCUGACAGCUUGUUUCUCACACUGUUAGCCGAGCAGGAGGUGGCAGGUGGCCACACCUACGAGAUCCAGCGCUAAGCGGCAUCUCUUAUUCACUCUGUCCGCCCUGCCUCUCGUCGUACCAGUAUCCAGUGCUGCUUUUGCUGCCGGAGGGUUUGGAAUAUCUUAGUAGAACAGUGACAGCUGUAAGGGAGUUCAAGUCUGGGUCAGAACAAGACCAAACCACACCCACCAUCCAGCAGAACGCAGCAGUGUCAAGGGCAAGAAUCCACACAACAGGUGCCCGUCAAGCCCGGAUUUGCAUGCAUUCAGACGGUAGCAGGCCCGGGCUCUGCAGUGGUAAGCUUUAGCAGUAACAAUGGUUUCACUGUUCACUGGGCUCUAUGCGAUCAUUAACACUGACUUUCUGAGACCACUCCUGCCCUGAAACCCCUAAAUCAACACUAUCACCUCACCUCUUCCUCCUCCUCCUCUUCCUCCUGCUCCAUUUGUGCCCUCGCUGGAUGCCACCUCCCUGUAUGGAGCUGUGCCAGUAUUUAGAAACAUGAAUUUGGGGCACACAGGUGGCUUUGUGGCAUGCUCAUGCAGAAUGUCUCCUCUCCAGGGAGUCUGAGGUGUUGAGGGAAAAGUAACCAAAACCAACCAGCCAAUAGUGGGAUCCUGUGUUACUGUCAUUUAACGAUCAUGAUGAUAACACCAUGACAGUUAUGUUUUGUUGAUGUUUAUACCCAUGUCCUGAGUGAAAUGCUUAUGUCAACUUUAUUUUCUAUAGUUGGAAUGACAAGUAGACACAAAUAUGAAUGUGAACUUGAACAGACACACAUAUGGAAUGAUGGAGCAAGUGCUGGGAUGCUAUUCUGAUAAUGUAAGAGUAUUGCAAGUAUAAGUCCUGCCAGCUGCAGCAAUUUAGUGGACGUCUUUUGCCUGUGAGCAUCGCAAAUGGUCACUACACAUGAAGAUAAUAUUGUAAAUGUAUGUAAAAUUGUGAUGCCGCAAAGUAACGUGUAUCUUUACCCAUAAAAUAUCAUAAUGGCGUAGAAUAAGAAGAACAUACCAUAAUGUGAAAACAGGGAAAAAAUAUCCUAAAAAAAAGGUAAACUUUAUUUAAAGAAGUAUCAUCAAAAUGUUCUUAAAGUAUCAAGAAAAUGAGGCAUCAUACUGAUCAGGCAAUACCUGUCUUUCAGUGCUUGAGGGGUCAUUUAAUUAGUUUUCAGUAUAUGUUAUUUAAACAGGAGUAAACAGAACACGUGUUGGGGACUAUUUUUAGCUGCUGAUAUUGACCUCCAGCGAGGUGUAUUUACCACUGUAAUAUUAACAGUUUAUAUGUGACUGAAAAUCAAAAUACACUUCAGUGCUCAUUUAUGUUUGUAAUCAGUCACAUCAAUGAGGUUCUGCAGCACAGAGAGAUAAGCAGCACCAAACUGUAUGCACAGACACUAUUUGUUAACAUGAUUAAUUAAUUGCUGGUUUUGUUCUAUUCAUGUGAUUAGUCAUCAGUAAGAAAAGAACACAGUGCUACAUA